UUUAAGAAUGCCAGAGUUUUUAUGGGCUUGCUUUAGGAGUAAGAUACGGUUUUUGACCUUCUUAAAGC
rnacentral:tRNA from 1 species